CGUUUACAACACAUAAAAGCGUUUCCACGCGAGACUUACGGUCUUUCAUUGGCAGCGUGGUAAAUGCGAGCUGGAAAGCAACAACUCUCCAGCAUGGCGUUUUCACAUGUCUUGCAUUUAUAUCUAAUGGCGACGUUAACUGCAGACGAGCCGCCGUGAACAGAGGUUAAAUAGUUCAUCAUAUCAUAAGGGAGAACUACCAGCCUAAAAAAAGCCCCCCUCCCCCCCGUCGCUCCUGGUGGCCGGGUUUGACCCCCCCCAAACCCCGGUGGGAUGAACCACCACAAAGGUGGCCGUGAAGGCCGGGGGCCUCGACGGACUGGAGCAGAGGCCAGGCCUGGGGACGUUGAACAUCUUUCAUCGUUAUGAAAGGAACAUGGUUCUUCUGUCCCAUUUGACAUUCAUGGAAAAGGAGGCCUGGUGAAAAGGUUUUAACAAUCUGCAAAGCAAGACCACGAGGACACAUGGGUGCUGAAAAGUCUUACAGGUAAGACUGAUGCUGAUAAUUAAAGUCAAGCCAGUGAUGAUAAAAGUUAUCCCUGUCUGAACUUAAGUGUGGACUCAUGGUAACCUGAGGCUUGACUGCAGAUAUGGGACCAGUAUAGCUUUAGCUGACUAUAGUUUGUAUUAAAUGUAAAUGUUCUAAUUUCUUUUUCUUUUACUUGCAG